rnacentral:rRNA from 1 species
AUUGAACGCUGGCGGCAUGCUUUACACAUGCAAGUCGAACGGUAACAGGUCUUCGGAUGCUGACGAGUGGCGAACGGGUGAGUAAUGUAUCGGAACGUGCCCAGUAGUGGGGGAGUAACUACUCGAAGAAGUGGCUAAUACCGCAUGAGAACUGAGGUUGAAAGACGGGGGAGUCUUCGGACCUCGCGCUAUCAGAUGAGCCUGCGUAGGAUUAGCUUGUUGGUGAGGUAAAGGACUCACCAAGGCGACGAUCCUUAGCUGGUCUGAGAGGAUGAUCAGCCACACUGGAACUGAGACACGGUCCAGACUCCUACGGGAGGCAGCAGUGGGGAAUAUUGGACAAUGGGCGAGAGCCUGAUCCAGCCAUGCCGCGUGCAGGAAGACGGCCCUAUGGGUUGUAAACUGCUUUUGUACGGGAAGAAACACCCCUCGUGAGGGGCGUUGACGG